ACUCCUACGGGAGGCAGCAGUGGGGAAUCUUGGACAAUGGGGGCAACCCUGAUCCAGCCAUGCCGCGUGAGUGAUGAAGGCCUUAGGGUCGUAAAGCUCUUUCGCCUGUGAAGAUAAUGACGGUAGCAGGUAAAGAAACCCCGGCUAACUCCGUGCCAGCAGCCGCGGUAAUACGGAGGGGUUAGCGUUGUUCGGAAUUACUGGGGCGUAAAGCGCACGUAGGCGGAUCGGAAAGUUGGGGGUGAAAUCCCGGGGCUCAACCCCGGAACUGCCUCCAAAACUAUCGGUCUAGAGUUCGAGAGAGGUGAGUGGAAUUCCGAGUGUAGAGGUGAAAUUCGUAGAUAUUCGGAGGAACACCAGUGGCGAAGGCGGCUCACUGGCUCGAUACUGACGCUGAGGUGCGAAAGUGUGGGGAGCAAACAGGAUUAGAUACCCUGGUAGCGACUGA
rnacentral:rRNA from 1 species